AUUGAACGCUGGCGGCAUGCCUUACACAUGCAAGUCGAACGGUAACAGGUCUUCGGAUGCUGACGAGUGGCGAACGGGUGAGUAAUACAUCGGAACGUGCCCGAUCGUGGGGGAUAACGGAGCGAAAGCUUUGCUAAUACCGCAUACGAUCUACGGAUGAAAGCAGGGGACCGCAAGGCCUUGCGCGGACGGAGCGGCCGAUGGCAGAUUAGGUAGUUGGUGGGAUAAAAGCUUACCAAGCCGACGAUCUGUAGCUGGUCUGAGAGGACGACCAGCCAAACGGGGCCGGAGACACGGCCCAGACUCCUACGGGAGGCAGCAGUGGGGAAUUUUGGACAAUGGGCGAAAGCCUGAUCCAGCCAUGCCGCGUGCAGGAUGAAGGCCUUCGGGUUGUAAACUGCUUUUGUACGGAACGAAAAGCCUCUUUCUAAUAAAGAGAGGUCAUGACGGUACCGUAAGAAUAAGCACCGGCUAGCUACGUGCCAGCAGCCGCCGUAACAC
rnacentral:rRNA from 1 species